rnacentral:rRNA from 1 species
AGCGAACGUUAGCGGCGGGCCUAACACAUGCAAGUCGAACGCGAAAGGUCUUCGGACUGAGUAGAGUGGCGCACGGGUGAGUAACACGUAGGUAAUCUACCCUUUGGCGGGGGAUAACGUUCCGAAAGGAGCGCUAAUACCGCAUAAGACCACGGAGUCUCCGGACGCUGUGGGAAAAGGUGGCCUCUUCUUGAAAGCUACCACCGAAGGAUGAGCCUGCGUCCCAUCAGCUAGUUGGUAAGGUAAUGGCUUACCAAGGCGAAGACGGGUAGCUGGUUUGAGAGAAUGAUCAGCCACACUGGCACUGGAACACGGGCCAGACUCCUACGGGAGGCAGCAGUGAGGAAUAUUGGGCAAUGGGCGAAAGCCUGACCCAGCCACGCCGCGUGAGUGAAGAAGGCCU